ACUGGCAUUUAAAUCUGGCUUACAAUGCUUGCUAUUGAAUUUUUUUUAAGUGUUCUCUCACCGCAUAUUUUCGUCUUAAACAGUGAUACUGAAGGAAGCUUACCAUGGGUUGGCUGUCUGCUCACAGCUUCUGCAAGGCAGGUGCUCAGUUCUUUGCAGGGUCCAAGUUGUUCCUGCUUCCUGUUGCUCUGGCACACAGACUCCACAUAAAGAUGACAGAAGAGCUCCGAAUGUAUUACAGUAAAGGAGAUCAGUCUCUGAUCUUUCACAUCUUCACUGUAAAACAAGUCUGAAAUCUCCUGAGGAGCUGUAUGUGUGGUUGGUUGUCUGUGGAAAAUGCCAUGUCGUCAUUUGAAAGUAUGUCAUUUGCCAGGGCUGGCACAGGUGUACUUUUGCAAGACUGUUGGCAUACUUGUGCCUCCUUCACCAUGGAAACAGAAGAGGAAUUAUCCUAAAUUUGCCCAGGCAGAAUUAUGCUCUACAACUGAACAGUUUGAACACAACUACUGAAUGCUAAUCUAAUCUUUUUCAUACAUCUCAUUCAAGCCUCAGCAGCAGAUAUCUUUGCUGCACAUUACCCUGGAGAACUUCUGGCAUCACUUAAAGCAGAGCUCACACCUUGCGCCUUAGCUGUAUCUUUAUGGCACUAAAAGGUGCAAAUCAGAUUGUGUAUCUUAUCCAGCUGCCAAUUUUUCAUUAGUUGUCCAUAUUUCUUCUGUUUCUGCCAAAGAUGCUGCAGUUUCAUCUCACUUGCAUGCAUUUUGGUUGCAUCGAGCUCCUCAACA